GUGAAUCAUCAAAUUUUUGAACGCAAAUUGCACUCCCUGGUCUUCCGGGGAGUAUGCCUGCUUGAGGGUUAGUAUGUUACAAUAGUAAAAAGAAAUGUAUACGGAUCUGGUUUUUCAAAAAGUUAUAUUUUUGGUUAUUUAAUAAUUAUCAUAACAAUAGGUGAUAUUGGAAAUGUUUAUGUUGGAUUUAUUAAUAUUUAUUAUCAAAUUUGUUACGUCGUGUUAUUUUAUUAAUUUCUUAAUUAGGUAAAAGUUAUACAAUUUUAAUUUUGAAAUCU
rnacentral:misc_RNA from 1 species